rnacentral:rRNA from 2 species
UUCUGACCGUAAACGAUGCCAACUAGCGAUCCGCCACUGGCUCCCAAGCCUUGGUGGGGAGCUUCCCGGAAACGAAAGUCUUCCGGUUCCGGGGGAAGUAUGGUUGCAAAGCUGAAACUUAAAGGAAUUGACGGAAGGGCACCACCAGGAGUGGAGCCUGCGGCUUAAUUUGACUCAACACGGGAAAACUCACCCGGCCCGGACACCGUGAGGAUUGACAGAUUGAUAGCUUUUUCAUGAUUCGGUGGUUGGUGGUGCAUGGCCGUUCUUAGUUCGUGGAUCGAUUUGUCUGGUUUAUUCCGAUAACGAGCGAGACUCCAGCCUACUAACUAGUACGGGCAUUGCCUCUGUGCCCGGCACUUCUUAGAGGGAUUGGCUGCGUCUAGCAGCACGAAACGGAGCAAUAACAGGUCUGUGAUGCCCUUAGAUGUCCGGGGCUGCACGCGCGCUACACUGGCAAAGGCAGCGUGCUUGUCCGUCUCCGAAAGGAGCCGGUAAACCCUUGAAAAUUUGCCGUGAUUGGGAUCGGAAAUUGCAAUUAUUUUCCGUGAACGAGGAAUUCCUAGUAGGCGCGAGUCAUCAGCUCGCACCG